UGGGGGUGGGGUUUAGCUAGUCUCCAACUACCAUCCAACAGCAGGAUUAUGUUAUAUUAAACUUCACUAGCAGAGAAACAUCCACUACAGGUUUCAGUGUGGGGUAUUUCUGAGAGAAAGAAAAAAAAAAUGGCAAAAAGAGAGGAAGAGAUUCAAUCUGACGAAUUAAGAGAGAACAAUCUGCAGAGAUUAGUCAGAUUUAACAGCAUUAAUAGCGGCAGACCGAACUUUUAUCAUGGAGAAAGUUCAGAAGACUAACAGAUGAGGGAUCUAAUGUUUCUGGACCAGAUCAGACAUGAACUCCUCAAAAACAACAUGCUGCUGGGAUCUAAUGUUUCUGGACCAGAUCAGACAUGAACUCCUCAAAAACAACACGCUGCUGGUGAACCUCUUCUGGAGGAGAUGACUUCUAGAUUAGUUUAUAAUAUAUAAAAAAAACUAUUUAUUAUAUAAAAAUUCAAUUAAAAUAAAUGAUACAGUACAUACUGUAUGUAUACACACUACCACAAUACUGUUCACUGUUUGUUUGAGUACAUGUCAUAAACUAACUGGAUGGUUUUCUCUGUACAUUACUGCCGUAUGGACAUCACCUUGACAUAGUCACCACUGAUUACUCCUAAAUGUGAUGAUAAAAUGUACAUUUCCAGUGAAGCUGCUUUGCAAAUAUUUGUAUCAUGUAAAUAGACAGAUAAAUGUGAAAUGAAUUGAUGUGUCUGAUUCUGGAUCUUUUAUAUAUUGGUUACAUUAUGCAUAAUCAGUUUCAUGAGGAAAUUGGUUUUAGAGAUGAGGAAAGUUUUGACAAUGCUUGACUAUUUCCAUUUGCACACAACCUGUGAUCAGUCAUUACUCUGUCUCGAAUGUCACAAGAUUCCCAUAAUGCUGAUUUGUUUGUGUGUUGUUGUUGUUGUGUGUAUUAGAUUUCCCACAGUGUUUUUAUGCCCUGUCUAUAUAUCCCCUUUCCUUGUGUAUUAUUGUUUGUUGUCUUGUUUGCCUUCUCUUUGGUGUUUAGUUAGUUUGUUCACAAUCAGUUUUUGUUCAGUUUUCUUGGAUAUUCUUGAUUUAUCUUAUCUAAAUAGUUGAUCUACAUUUAUAAAUCAAGCAUCCCCUUGUUUCUUAGUUCACCAUGACUGACACAGACUGACACAUGACGUAAGGUAUUGCUCAACAGACUGAGGAGUGUUUGUCUGUAAAGGAUCAUUGUGUUUGAAAGUGAUGCAAUCUAAAUUAACUCUUUUCACACAGAACGGUCUGUUAUCCCAAUGAGUCUGUCAUUAAUGACUCACGCUUGUGUUGUUUCAAACCCGUGAGACCUUCGUUCAUCUUCAGAACACAAUUUGAGAUAUUUCUGAUUAAAUCUUAUCAUAGACAGCAAAGGUAACUACCACGUUCAAGGUCCAGAGAAGAUGAUUGAUAAAGCAGUCCGUGUGACAUCAGUGGUUCAACUGUAAAGUUACAAAGCUACAAGAAUACUUUUUUUGCACAAAGAAAACCAAAAUAAUGCCUUUAUUGCACCAUUGUACGCACAAUCUUCUGCUGACUGAGUAUUACAAAGAUAAUAUUACACAGGUUCUGGUAUACACAUGGCUUUAUGAAUCAGAAACUUUAGUACAGAAGCAAAAUGUAGCUCUUGUGCAUACAAACACAUUCAGGAUGAAAUCUUAAGAAGUUUUAUACACAAGUCCCCAGGAAUAAAAUGACUCGACUGUUUGUGUCUCAUUAUUGACUGAACGUCCUGUUAAUAAAUCCAGCUUUUGAUCGUCUCUCAAAACAGAAAAUUUAAAUCUGUAUUUAUUGUCAGAUACGAUGACCUUGUGAGCUGUAAACAUAAUAUACAGUAAAAAUAAAUAAAUAAAUACAUAUGAUUAAAUGCUAACUAGAAGAUUUAGAUGUAUUCAUUUAGCAGGUGAUCUUAUCCACUUACAAACAUCAUACAAUGUCAGGUUUAUUAGAAAGAUAGAUUAGGAGACAAACCAGAGCGGAGGAGAAAUACAACACGUUUUUUUUUGUAGCAAAUUUUUGUCAUUUAACUUUUGUGAAAAUGUUUUCAGAAAUUUUCAGAAAUUGUCAGAGAGGUGCUUAGUGUUUUUAUAGCAUCUAACAUUAAUUUCUGUAUUUAUACCUUGUUUUUGGAACGAUGUACUACUUUCAAUAAUUCAAUCAUUUUAAUUGAUAUAAAAAUCGAAACUGUUUAUGCCUUUAGAUCAAUCUAAUUAUUAUACAUCGUGACAGGAGAAAGGUUGUGGAACAGAAACUGAGCGUCAUGUGUUAAGUGUUUGAUUUCAGUCAUGAGUGUGAGAGAGGAUGUGGGAUUGAAGUUCCUCUUUAAAAGGUUCAUGUAGUUCAGAUGUCAGAGCUGCAUCAUGAUUCCUCUUAUUGGCUCAACACGAGAAACAGAACAAAGGCAGAACUUACAAGACAGUAUGGCAUGGGAGAGCAAAUAUGGAGAAACAAGAACUGCAGGAUAAUUAAACCGAUAGGAAAGAAAGAGAAACAUGGGGAACCAAAAGGAGAAAAUGUUACAAUCUAAAGAACCAAAGACACGGAGUCUACUCAGACAAAACAGCAUUAACAGCGGCAGACCAAACUUUUCUCAUGUUGGUGUUUGGUGUUUCAGAGCGAGUCACAGAUGAGAAAGCAGUGGUUCUGUUCAACUAACCAGCAGAAUAUUCUCCAACAUGUCCAUCACUGAUUAAACAAUAUAUAUUUGAAUAUGUAUAAAUGGGUAUUAUAUUUAGAAAGUACAUGUUUGGAUUUAAUUUUCAACACUACACUUUGUUCUGAAUGAAUCUGAUCUGAAUGUGAUGUUUAAAGUAAUUAUUGAUGUAAUCAGAUUUGUUUCUGUAUGUUAUUUUAUGAUAUAAUGCGUUUUAAUUUUCUUGCUGAACUUUAUCCUUUACUUGACAGAGAGCAUCAGAAAUACACACAACUGCAAUGCAGGAAAUAUUUUCUAGAAUAUGUUAUAUAGUCAUAGAUUGCAUGACAACAUUAAACUAUUAAAAACUACACUACAAAUCAAAGGCACAUACAAUAUGACAACACAAGUAACAAAACAGUUUUAAGCUUUGAGGGUAUACAUAGUAUAUACAAUAAUUUAUCAUACAUUUUAAUCAUGUAUUCAUCAUAUUCUUAUUUAUUGAGCUUAUAAAACACAUUUUAAUCACAUUUUAAACAAAAACUACUCAUAAACGCUGCUUUCUCAAAAUCACAGACCUGUACAUUAAUGAUGCUCACGUAUUUUUGUAGCCCCACGUUCGUGAUGAAUACAAUACAUUCAGACUUUAGCCAUUAAUACGUUUUAAGAUACUGAAAAACACUAAUGUCGGGGCAUGCCAAAAUAUCUCCAUUUCCCAAAAAAACCAACUCAACCUAACAUUAAAGUACACUGUAAAAAGUGCUACACCCACACAGUAGGUUUUAUAUAUUUUAAAUAGUUGUAAUCUAGUUUAUUUAUUUGUUUUAUACUAAAAAGUAUAAAUAUACUUCCUCUUUACUUAAAAUAUAUCACUUUUUACAUAACAAUAUAUUUUAAGUAAAACAAUACCAAUUUAUUUGGGUAGCUUUUUGUAUGAGUUUGUUGUGUACAAGAAAUGUUAUAAAAGUGAGUUGAAAUACACAAUUUAUUUGAGCAACUGUCGAUUUGGCAUGUGUGUUCAUCAAACUUAAAUAUUUGAAAUAAAAACACAUAAAAAUUAAGUUGGAUUUAUCCCUUUUUCACUGGCGGGGACUUUCCAAGGCAGAUGCUUCCUCGGCACUUCAACUGUUUGAAAGCUGCAGCGGAUCUAAAUUUCACAGACUGAUUAACACGUCUCCGGUGGGGCAUGCAGCUGUCGUGGGGUCCUCGUGUUAUCAGCAGCAGAGUUGUAACCAAGCGUUUUUGUUACCUGGGGUCUUCAGAUACAGGAUCCGUCUGGCUAUGUGGAGAAAAGGAGAGAAGUGGUACUGAGAUGCCUGAUUGAGUACAUAUGGGAGGGAAAGGAAGACCUCAUCAGUGUCCACCAUAGUCAUGAUGAAACAGAGGUGCACGCUGAGCUUGGAAGUUCCCCACUGAAAAUAUACAUGCCCCAUCAGCCAAACACGAUUGGGAUUAUCACAGUUGAAGGACAGCCCAUGGUCAGAGGUGUGCCAAACCUGUAGAAAACCUCCUGUUUGGACUUGUCUAUGCCAACAACCUCUAAUAUCAAAUCUGGUGUAUACUUCUGAGAUAUAUCACAGGCUCUUUGUGGGAUUGGACCCUAUGCAUACUUUUGUAUGUUUUGUAGGCACUGUUAAAAGUGACACUAGUUGACAUUGAAUAAAUGUUAUUGUCUUUAA